AACGAACGCUGGCGGCAGGCUUAACACAUGCAAGUCGAACGGGUGUAGCAAUACAUCAGUGGCAGACGGGUGAGUAACACGUGGGAACCUUCCUAGGGGUACGGAACAACUCAGGGAAACUUGAGCUAAUACCGUAUACGUCGGUGAGGAGAAAGAUUUAUCGCCCUUAGACGGGCCCGUGUCGGAUUAGCUAGUUGGUGGGGUAACGGCCUACAAAGGCGACGAUCCGUAGCUGAUCUUAGAGGAUGAUCAGCCACACUGGGAUCUGAGACACGGCCCAGACUCCUACGGGAGGCAGCAGUGGGGAAUCUUGGACAAUGGGCGCAAGCCUGAUCCAGCCAUGCCGCGUGAGUGAAGAAGGUCUUCGGAUUGUAAAGCUCUUUUGCCAGGGACGAUAAUGACGGUACCUGGAGAAUAAGCCCCGGCAAACUUCGUGCCAGCAGCCGCAGUAACAC
rnacentral:rRNA from 1 species